rnacentral:tRNA from 2 species
AAUGGAGUGCCUGAUUAAAGGAUUACUUUGAUAGAGUAAAUAAAGUAAAAAUAUUACCUCCAUUA